rnacentral:rRNA from 1 species
CAACCUGCCGUCUACUCUUGGACAGCCUUCUGAAAGAAAGAUUAAUACAAGAUGGCAUCAUGAGUCCGCAUGUUCACAUGAUUAAAGGUAUUCCGGUAGACGAUGGGGAUGCGUUCCAUUAGAUAGUAGGCGGGGUAACGGCCCACCUAGUCUUCGAUGGAUAGGGGUUCUGAGAGGAAGGUCCCCCACAUUGGAACUGAGACACGGUCCAAACUCCUACGGGAGGCAGCAGUGAGGAAUAUUGGUCAAUGGGCGAGAGCCUGAACCAGCCAAGUAGCGUGAAGGAUGACUGCCCUAUGGGUUGUAAACUUCUUUUAUAAAGGAAUAAAGUCGGGUAUGGAUACCCGUUUGCAUGUACUUUAUGAAUAAGGAUCGGCUAACUCCGUGCCAGCAGCCGCGGUAAUACGGAGGAUCCGAGCGUUAUCCGGAUUUAUUGGGUUUAAAGGGAGCGUAGAUGGAUGUUUAAGUCAGUUGUGAAAGUUUGCGGCUCAACCGUAAAAUUGCAGUUGAUACUGGAUAUCUUGAGUGCAGUUGAGGCAGGCGGAAUUCGUGGUGUAGCGGUGAAAUGCUUAGAUAUCACGAAGAACUCCGAUUG